rnacentral:rRNA from 1 species
AGCCCGCUCAGAAACUUAAAGGAAAGUUGACGGGGCCCGGCACAAGCGGUGGAGCAUGUGGUUUAAUUCGAUGAUACGCGAGGAACCUUACCUGGGCUCAAAUGUAUGUUGACGUAUUCUGAAAGGGAUACUUCUUCGGACAAUAUACAAGGUGCUGCAUGGUUGUCGUCAGCUCGUGCCGUGAGGUGUCGGGUUAAGUCCCACAACGAGCGCAACCCCUAUCAUUAGUUGCCAUCAGGUCAAGCUGGGGACUCUAAUGAAACUGCCUACGCAAGUAGUGAGGAAGGUGGGGAUGACGUCAAAUCAGCACGGCCCUUACGUCCAGGGCUACACACGUGCUACAAUGGCCGGUACAAAGGGCAGCUACCUGGUGACAGGAUGCUAAUCUCAAAAGCCGGUCUCAGUUCGGAUCGGAGUCUGCAACCCGACCCCGUGAAGCUGGAAUCGCUAGUAAUCGCGCAUCAGCCAUGGCGCGGUGAAUACGUUCCCGGGCCUU